UUUAUUUUUGUUGCAUGUCGCUACGUCAAUAUUUCGCCGAGUUAUAACGUUCCAAAAAUCCAGCACGAGCGCACCAUUUACGAGUGUAUGCAUGCAUACAUGUGCGCGCAUUAUGUAAUAUUGCACAGAUCAGAUGAUCAGCUGAUCAAUAAUAGGGAAAGUUGGGACUUCGUAGAGCACUGACCUGCGUAAACACAUGACUCUAUCUUCGGUUGACUUCGAUCUACAGGUCGGGAUCACUCGGAAAGUGCAGUCGAUGCUCGACCGUUGAUCAGAGUCGAUAGAAAAGUGGAAAAAAGUGUCAUCUGAAAACUGAGAUUACUCUUUAUUAGUCCAGAAUCGUUUAUCUCAAAUAAAUCUUUCGACCAUCAAAUGUCCUUUCCGUUGUGGCUGCCAGUCGCAAUCCGCAAUAAUAGGUCAAUGCUUUAGCAAGUUAAUUGUUAUGUUAACUGAAUGUUAUUAUGUUAAUUAGAUGCUUGGGUCGUUCGGAAUGCUUCGUCAUAAAAGCCAAUUAUUAGAACACUCUGCUUUGUUAUGUAACGCUAAAUUAGCGUAUGUUCCCACCGACACAUUGUGAGAUUGGCUUUAGAUUUGCAUGUAUUAGUACACGAGGAAAGCGUAAACAAACGUUUUUUUUUUGUUUUUCUUUUUGCGCUAAUGAAACUUCAGCUAACAUACGUGACGACAUUCAAAACAAUGACCCAAGUUAAUAAUUCUAAUCAUUGACAUAUUUUUCAUAUAUAAAUAUUUGAAUAUUUCAUUAUUCUUAUUUAAUUAUUCUAUAAAUACAAUUUGUAAUUUUCACAUAAUUAUCUCACACAAAUUACAAAAUCCGUUCAUUUUUGCUUUAGACAUCUUCUAAAUCUUUUUCUUCUUUGUCUUAACAUUCAAGGUUUUUUUUUUCAAUUAUACGAGUAUUGCAUUGUUUCGCUAAUUUAAAUUCAUCUUCGACAAAAUAAAUUGGGGAAUUGCGCGUUUCA